rnacentral:misc_RNA from 1 species
GAUGAAGAACGUAGCGAAAUGCGAUACGUAAUGUGAAUUGCAGAAUUCAGUGAAUCAUCGAGUCUUUGAACGCACACUGCGCCCCCUGGUAUUCCGGGGGGCAUGCCUGUCCGAGCGUCAUUGCUGCCCUCAAGCCCGGCUUGUGUGUUGGGUCUCGUCCCCCUUCCCGGGGGGACGGGCCCGAAAGGCAGCGGCGGCACCGUGUCCGGUCCUCGAGCGUAUGGGGCUUUGUCACCCGCUCUGUAGGCCCGGCCGGCGCUUGCCGAUCAACCAAAACUUUUUUCCAGGUUGACCUCGGAUCAGGUAGGGAUACCCGCUGAACUUAAGCAUAUCAAUAAGCGGAGGA